ACGAACGCUGGCGGCGUGCCUAAUACAUGCAAGUAGAACGCUGAAGCUUGGUGCUUGCACCGAGCGGAUGAGUUGCGAACGGGUGAGUAACUCGUAGGUAACCUGCCUGGUAGCGGGGGAUAACUAUUGGAAACGAUAGCUAAUACCGCAUAAGAGUAGAUGUUGCAUGACAUUUGCUUAAAAGGUGCAAUUGCAUCACUACCAGAUGGACCUGCGUUGUAUUAGCUAGUUGGUGAGGUAACGGCUCACCAAGGCAACGGUACAUAGCCGACAUGAGAGGGUGAUCGGCCACACUGGGAAUGAGACACGGCCCAGACUCCUACGGGAGGCAGCAGUAGGGAAUCUUCGGCAAUGGACGGAAGUCUGACCGAGCAACGCCGCGUGAGGGAAGAAGGUUUUCGGAUCGUAAAGCUCUGUUGUAAGAGAAGAACGAGUGUGAGAGUGGAAAGUUCACACUGUGACGGUAUCUUACCAGAAAGGGACGGCUAACUACGUG
rnacentral:rRNA from 1 species